rnacentral:rRNA from 1 species
GAUUUCUGGCUUGAAACAUGUUGCCGGCCACGGUUUCGUGUGUUAGUGCUGCAUGUUCUGGCCAUCCUUCCAAUCGCUACUUACUAUUCUUCAUUGAUUGGUAAGUGGUAUUGGAUCUUUUACUUUGAAAAAAUUAGAGUGUUUAAAGCAGGCUUUAUGCUAUGAAUACAUUAGCAUGGAAUAAUAAUUUAGGACUUCGGUUCUAUUUUGUUGGUUUCUAGGACUGAAGUAAUGAUUGAUAGGGACAGUUGGGGGUGCUAGUAUUCAGCGGCCAGAGGUGAAAUUCUCGGAUUCGCUGAAGACUAACUUAUGCGAAAGCAUU